rnacentral:lncRNA from 1 species
ACACUGUCUUCCACAAUGGUUAAACUAAUGUACACUCCCACCAACAGUGUAAAAGCUUUCCUGUUUCUCCACAUCCUCGCCAGCAUCUGUUUCCUGACUUUUUAAUGAUCACCAUUCUAACUGGCAUGAGAUGGUAUUUCAUUGUGGUUUUGAUUUAUAUUUCUCUAAUGACCAGUGAUGAUGAGCUUUUUUUCAUAUGUUUGUUGGCCAUACAAAUGUCUUCUUUCGAGAAGUGCCUGUUCAUAUCCUUGACCCACUUUUUGAUGGGGUUGUUUUUUCUUGUAAAUUUCAGUUCCUUGUAGAUUCUGGAUAUUAGGCCUUUGUCAGAUGGAUAGACUGGAAAACUUUUCUCCCAUUCUGUAGGUUGCCUGUUCACUCUGACGAUAGUUUCUUUUGCUGUGCAGAAGCUCUUUCUUUUAAUUAGAUCCCAUUUGUUAUUUUUGGCUUUUGUUGCCAUUGCUUUUGGUGUUUCAGUUGUGAAGUCUUUGCCCAUGCCUAUGUCCUGAAUGGUAUUGCCUAGGUUUUCUUCUAGGGUUUCUAUGGUUUUAGGUCUUAUGUUUAAGUCUUUAAUCCAUCUUGAGUUAGUUUUUCUAUAAGGUGUAAAGAAGGGGUCCAGUUUCAGUUUUCUGCAUAUAGAUAGCCAGUUUUCCCAACACCAUUUAUUAAAUAGGGAAUCUUUUGCCUUUCAAGCCCAAUUCAAAACCUCCUUUCCCUAGGCAAUCUUUCAUUAUAGACUUCAUCUAAAUGUGGUAUUGCUCCUUGGCCUUUCUGGGUCAAGUUGGUACUAAAUUAGUUUAUAUAUUGAGAAGUUGUUCUGUGUAAGUAUUCUUCAGCUGUUCAAUUAUUUUCUAACUCCUCUCCAAAAGGACUAGAAGCUCUUUGAGAGCAGAUAUUAUCUUUGUUCCUUUUGUUAAGUGCCCAGUGGGACCUCAUUUAUUCCUUCAUUUUUUUUUCUCACUUGCAUUCAGCACUUUCCAUGUGCCAGGCAGUGAGCUUGCCCUGGUGCUGUAAGUAGAAGUUUGGUUGCUUUCAUAAGCCCUGCCCUGCACAGGGGCCUUCUAAAUCCAGAGCUUUGUACUUGGACUUUGAUAGUUGUGAGUGCCUUCCAUUUACUCACUGGAGAAGUCUGAAAUACAGGACAGAGUCUCAUUCCAUCACCCAGGCUGGAGUGCAGCGGCGUGAUCUUGGCAACCUCCACCUCCCAGGCUCAAGAAAUCCUCCCACCUCAGCCUCCCAAUAGCUGGAUCUACAGGCGUACACCACCACAAUCAGCUGUAUUUUUUGUAGAGACUGGGUUUCGCCAUGUUGCCCAGGGUGGUCAUGAACUUGUGAGCUCAAGUGAUCUGCCCGCCUCAGCCUCCCAAAGUGCUGGGAUUACAGGCAUGAGCCACCGCCCCUGGC